ACCCGGCUGGCUCAGUUGGUAGAGCGUGUGACUCUUGAUCUCAGGGUUGUGGGUUCGAGCCCCACAUUGGGUG